rnacentral:rRNA from 1 species
GACGAACGCUGGCGGCGUGCUUAACACAUGCAAGUCGAGCGGUAAGGCUCCUUCGGGAGUACACGAGCGGCGAACGGGUGAGUAACACGUGAGUAAUCUGCCCUUCACUUCGGGAUAACCACCGGAAACGGUGGCUAAUACCGAAUACGACCAGUCUUCGCAUGAGGUGCUGGUGGAAAGUCUUUUCGGUGAAGGAUGUGCUCGCGGCCUAUCAGCUUGUUGGUGGGGUAAUGGCCUACCAAGGCUUCGACGGGUAGCCGGCCUGAGAGGGUGACCGGCCAGACUGGGACUGAGACACGGCCCAGACUCCUACGGGGGGCAGCAGGGGGGAAUAUUGGACAAUGGGCGAAAGCCUGAUCCAGCAACGCCGCGUGAGGGAUGACGGCCUUCGGGUUGUAAACCUCUUUCAGUACCGACGAAGCGCCCUGUCGGGUGGUGACGGUAGGUACAGAAGAAGGACCGGCCAACUACGUG